rnacentral:rRNA from 1 species
GACACAGGGAGGUAGUGACAAGAAAUAACAAUACAGGGCUUUAAGCUUUGUAAUUGGAAUGAUGGGAAUCUAAACCUCUUCCAGAGUAUCAAUUGGAGGGCAAGUCUGGUGCCAGCAGCCGCGGUAAUUCCAGCUCCAAUAGCGUAUAUUAAACUUGUUGCAGUUAAAAAGCUCGUAGUUGAACUUCUGCUGCCAGGAUUUCGUUCCCUUUGGGGUUUCGCUUUUCUGGUGGCAUUCUUCCGGUUAAUUUGGACCUUGGUCCACAUUUUCCGGUUUUACUUUGAGAAAAUUAGAGUGUUUCAAGCAGGCUUUUGCCUUGAAUACUUCAGCAUGGAAUAAUAAAGUAGGACUUUGGUUCUAUUUUGUUGGUUUCAGAGCCAAAGUAAUGGUUAAUAGGAACAGUUGGGGGCAUUCGUAUUUAACUGUCAGAGGUGAAAUUCUUAGG